rnacentral:rRNA from 1 species
UCGUCAGCUCGUGUCGUGAGAUGUUGGGUUAAGUCCCGCAACGAGCGCAACCCUUGCCUUUAGUUGCCAGCAUUAAGUUGGGCACUCUAGAGGGACUGCCAGGGAUAACCUGGAGGAAGGUGGGGAUGACGUCAAAUCAUCAUGCCCCUUAUGCUUAGGGCUACACACGUGCUACAAUGGGUGGUACAGAGGGCAGCCAAGUCGUGAGGCGGAGCUAAUCCCUUAAAGCCAUUCUCAGUUCGGAUUGUAAGCUGAAACUCGCCUACAUGAAGCUGGAGUUACUAGUAAUCGCAGAUCAGAAUGCUGCGGUGAAUGCGUUCCCGGGUCUUGUACACACCGCCCGUCACACCACGGAAGUUGGGGGCGCCCGAAGCCGGAUUGCUAACCUUUUGGAAGCGUCCGUCGAAGGUGAAAUCAAUAACUGGGGUGAAGUCGUAACAAGGUAACCGUA